CACCCACUAUCUGGCACUCCCUAGUGAGAUGAACCCGGUACCUCAGAUGGAAAUGCAGAAAUCACCAUCUUCUGCGUCGCUCACGCUGGGAGCUGUAGACCGGAGCUGUUCCUAUUCGGCCAUCUUGGCUCCUGUCCCUGAUAGCUUUUUCAUAACGUUAAAAUGGAAAUUGACUUCCUUGUUCUGAGCUGCCCCAUGGAGAGGCCAUGUGGCAAAGAAUUGAGGGUGGCCUCCAGCCAACAGCCAGCAAGGAACUGUGGCCUUCGGUGGGAGGAACAGAAUCCAACUAACAACCAUAUGAGUGAGCUUGGAAGCAGAUGCUUCCCCGGUUGAGACCUGAGAUGACUGUAGACCCAGUUGACACCUUGAUUGCAGCCUAUGAAAGGCCCUAAAGCAGGGGACCCAGCUAAGCCAAGGCCAGGUUCCUGACCCAUAGGAACUGUGAGAUAAUAAAAUUUUUUUUUUGUAAACCACUAA
rnacentral:lncRNA from 1 species